rnacentral:lncRNA from 1 species
CCUCUUUGCUGCUUGUAAUACACCGUGUUACAGAUUCCUCUGGAUUUCCUAGUUUGUGCCCAUAUACACUACAUACUGCUGGUCACAUUUUUUUCCCUUUAGUCCUGAGCUAAUCUAGGGACCUGGGAUAAUUCUAGAGCCUCUUCCCAGUAGAGCUCUCUGGCAGUGCUACACCUGAUUAUAAACUACUACCACUGUUCUUGUCAAAAUGCUUUUUACGUUUUCUUGUUUUACCUAAAAAGUUCACUCUUUCCUUCAAAAGGCUUCUCCCACCAGGACAGCAGCAUGAGGGCAGGCACAGCAGCUCAGCAGCAUGGCUUGGAUUAAACCCUUGCUGAAUGGUGGAGAGAGAAAGGGAGAAAGACAAGACUAUCUGUUUUGGGAUACUGCAGCCAAGAAGCCAACAGAAAGGUUUACUGAAAUGUUUACAUGCAGAAAAGAGAAAAAAACCCCACCAGAAUAAAGUUCAAGCUGAUGCCAACAAACUGUGUUUGGUACGGUACAGCCUGUUGCUCACAGCUGCAUUCAGAGGUGAUUCUGAUGGGAAGUUCCUCUCCUUUUAAGGCUGCCACAAAGGGAUGAUAUUUUGUCACUGAAUAUGAGGUUGCAGAGUCUUCAUCCUUGGAGAUAGUCAAAAGCUGUAUGGACAUGGUCCUAGAUCACCUGCCCUCGCUGACCCUGCUUGGGCAGGGCACUCAGACCAGAUGAUCUGCAGAGAUCCCUUUCAACCUCAAUGAUUCCAUCAUUCUGUGGUCUUCACUAACAAGAAUGAUUUGUGAUGUUGGAAGAAUGUGCUACUAAUCACUUACAACUGAAUCUUGUGAAUGUGAUGUACAAUAAAAAGGAAGCUAAGUAUUUUUAACA